rnacentral:rRNA from 1 species
GAUGAACGCUGGCGGCGUGCCUAAUACAUGCAAGUCGAGCGAACAGACGAGGAGCUUGCUCCUUUGACGUUAGCGGCGGACGGGUGAGUAACACGUAGGUAACCUACCUAUAAGACUGGGAUAACUUCGGGAAACCGGAGCUAAUACCGGAUAAUAUUUCGAACCGCAUGGUUCGAUAGUAAAAGAUGGCUUUGCUAUCACUUAUAGAUGGACCUGCGCCGUAUUAGCUAGUUGGUAAGGUAACGGCUUACCAAGGCAACGAUACGUAGCCGACCUGAGAGGGUGAUCGGCCACACUGGAACUGAGACACGGUCCAGACUCCUACGGGAGGCAGCAGUAGGGAAUCUUCCGCAAUGGGCGAAAGCCUGACGGAGCAACGCCGCGUGAGUGAUGAAGGUCUUCGGAUCGUAAAACUCUGUUAUUAGGGAAGAACAAACGUGUAAGUAACUGUGCACGUCUUGACGGUACCUAAUCAGAAAGCCACGGCUAACUACGUG